rnacentral:pre_miRNA from 1 species
UACAAUGUUUUGACUCUUCGUCUUAUUUAAAUUUUUUUAGAUUAAUAUUUUUAUUGUUACUAGAUGAUAAAAUAUGAAUAAUACUUUAUGCAUGUCUAAGUUUUUUAUAAAUUUUUUAAAUAAGACGAAUGGUCAAACGUUGGACACGGAAAAAC